AAGAACCUUACCAAGUCUUGACAUCCUUCUGACCGGUACUUAAUCGUACCUUCUCUUCGGAGCAGGAGUGACAGGUGGUGCAUGGUUGUCGUCAGCUCGUGUCGUGAGAUGUUGGGUUAAGUCCCGCAACGAGCGCAACCCUUAUCUUUAGUAGCCAGCGGUUCGGCCGGGCACUCUAGAGAGACUGCCGGGAUAACCUGGAGGAAGGCGGGGAUGACGUCAAAUCAUCAUGCCCCUUAUGAGCAGGGCUACACACGUGCUACAAUGGCGUAAACAAAGGGAGGCAGAACCGCGAGGUCGAGCAAAUCCCAAAAAUAACGUCCCAGUUCGGACUGUAGGCUGCAACUCGCCUGCACGAAGUCGGAAUUGCUAGUAAUCGCAGAUCAGCAUGCUGCGGUGAAUACGUUCCCGGGUCUUGUACACACCG
rnacentral:rRNA from 1 species